GAUGCCGGGCCCGCUUGGAGCCGCUCCCCUGGUGCUGGGCUCUCCGCGCCCGGCAGGGAGCGAGCCAGGCCGGCCGCCGGCCCACGCCGGGCUGCGCGGAUCUGCUGCAGAUAAAACACGGAGCCCAAGAAUGGGAAAUAAUCCAUCGACAGUGGGAUUAUCUAAUUCUGCUACUGUGAACAAGAUCCAGGAAACCAUUUCGGACAACUGUGUAGUGAUUUUCUCUAAAACAACGUGUGCCUAUUGCAAAAUGGCAAAGAAACUGUUCCAGGAUAUGAAUGUAAAUUACACAGCAAUAGAACUAGACAUGUAUGAAAAUGGAAGCCAGUUUCAAGACAUUCUUCAUCAAAUGACGGGUGGCAGAACGGUUCCAAGAGUGUUUAUUAAUGGGGCUUUCAUCGGAGGUGCUACAGAUACUCAAAGGCUUCACCAGGAAGGUGAACAGAUAAAGUCCCAGGAAAGUGAAUUUCUUUUCCUGUGAGGACAUCGUUGUGAACACAACAGAGCAGGCAGCACACCUGAGCACCGCGCGUGGUUAUGACUUCAAGUCCCAUGAGUUCCAGUUCCCGGGGAUGCAAAAGAGCACUAGCAUGGACAGGGGCAGAUGAUCAUUUUGCGGGGCCCCGGGCAGUCCAAUUUCGCGGGGGCCCCCUUUGCCACGAUGCAUGCACAGGGCUUCUUGAAGCGCGGGGCCCGGGGCAGCCGCCCUGCUCGCCCUACGCUAUAUCCGCCCCUGAGCAUGGAGUGUGAAGGAGAUCUUGGACCUCAUCAAGAUCUGGGGAGAGGAAUCCAUUCUCUUGGAGCUCUGAUCCAGCAAAAGAAAUGCUGACAUUUACAUGAUGACUGCAAACUGAAUAGUGGCCAAAGGAUACCAGCAGUGCAGAGUUAAAAUACAGGAGCUGAGGCAGUCCUACCACAAGGUAAAGGAAGCUAACACACAGUCCGGAGCAUCUCUGCAAAUAUGCUGUUUCCAUGUGCAGCUGGAUGCGAUUCUGGAAGGGAAGGGAGACCUGAUCAGCUUCCCAAGCCUGACAACGGAGUCUGGCUGUGACACUCCUGGCAGCAGUGUGGAGGACAGCGUGGUUGUGGAGCGGGAGGAUGAGGAGAAUGGCCAUCUAGUGAUCAGCAAGAGCCAAGAAUUUUUUGUAAUAUUGGAGCCAGUCCCCUCCUCCCAGGACAUCUCCCAAAUGAGCACUGAUCCCAGGGAGGACACUUCUGCGGGAACAGCAACCAGCUUGGGACAUAAUCCCACAGCUCCACCACCUGUCCAUCAGGCGCAGAUCUGCAGGCAAAAAUGGACAAGGAAAGAUUUAUUCAAGAAGCAAAUAGAGUGGAGGAACACAAUCCUGGAGAAGAUGUGUGCUGAGCACCAGGACAGGGUCGCAGAACUUUAGGAGAGGCAACAGCAGAAUAUCUUUGCCUCUCAUGGCUGUGAUGGAACGCCUGAUGGCAUUCUUGAGAAGAACCCCUUCCUCCCCAACCCACAUUCACCCCAUGAAAAAUAACUUUCCCUCCUCACCCAGAUCCAUAACCUCCACCCCCCAUGGAACCCCAGGACACAGGAUGGGGAGGUGAGAGACAGAGGGGAUGGACUCAAGGUCAGCUUCACACUCAACCUCCAGGGUCUCAGGAGGCAAAAAGCUGUCCUUGCAUUUCUGAGCCAUCUCCGCACUCCCCUCCGGAUUCCCACCAUGGACUUCUUUUCUUUCCCUGCUGCCUUCCCUAAAUAAAAAUGCAUGAUCUCUGAAGAACAAUCUUUUUAUUGCUUGUACAGCAGGGGUGGAGUGGGGGAAUAAAAACAAACACACUGAAUGCGUCCCCUUGAGAGCAAUGUGCACGAGUCUCAAAACUGGCCAUUCAUAAAACUGUCUUUCAAAGGCUUUCUGAUUUGUGCUGCUCCACAUUGUGUUCUCUUUAUUGCUCUGGUGUCUGGCUGCUCAAAAUCUCUGCCUAGGUGCUCUGCCUCAGCCCCCCACCCUGCCAGAAAACCCCUCACUCUUGGAAAGAUUAUGGCGCACAUAACAGGCUACCACCACAAAAGGAAAUGUUGCAUUCAGUGAGGUCCAGACUAGUGAGGAAACUCCUAAACCUUCCCUUUAAAUGCCUAGAGGCAAAUUCAACCAUCGUUCUCUACUAGCUCAGCCUGUAGUUGAACUGCUCCUUACUGUAGUCCAGGCUGCACGUGAAUAGCUUCAUGAGUCACCAGAGCAGGGGGUAGGCUGGCUUGCCAAAGAUCACUAUUGGCAUUUUCAUUGCUCUGAUUCUGAUUUUUUACCUCUGUCUUCACAGACAAGGCCAGC